rnacentral:rRNA from 1 species
GACGAACGCUGGCGGCGUGCUUAACACAUGCAAGUCGAGCGAUGAAGUUCCUUCGGGAACGGAUUAGCGGCGGACGGGUGAGUAACACGUGGGUAACCUGCCUCAUAGAGGGGAAUAGCCUUCCGAAAGGAAGAUUAAUACCGCAUAAGAUUGUAGUUUCGCAUGAAAUAGCAAUUAAAGGAGUAAUCCGCUAUGAGAUGGACCCGCGUCGCAUUAGCUAGUUGGUGAGGUAACGGCUCACCAAGGCGACGAUGCGUAGCCGACCUGAGAGGGUGAUCGGCCACAUUGGGACUGAGACACGGCCCAGACUCCUACGGGAGGCAGCAGUGGGGAAUAUUGCACAAUGGGGGAAACCCUGAUGCAGCAACGCCGCGUGAGUGAUGACGGUCUUCGGAUUGUAAAGCUCUGUCUUUAGGGACGAUAAUGACGGUACCUAAGGAGGAAGCCACGGCUAACUACGUGCCAGCCGCCGCCGUAACAC